rnacentral:rRNA from 1 species
UUCUAAUAGACUUAAUUAUUAGUAAAAUCUGCUCAAUGAAUUUUCAAUAGCCGCAAUAUUAUUGUGCUAAGGUAGCAUAAUCAUUUGCCUUUUAAUUUAAGACUAGAAUGAAAGAUUUAACUUUUAAAUUAUUAUUUUUUACACUCUAUAGAAAUUAUCUUAAAUAUAAAAAGAUAUUUAUUUAUUAAAAAGACGACAAGACCCUAUUGAAUUUAACUUAAGUUUAACUGGGGAAGUUAAUUAAUUAAUACUUUAAUUAUAAUUAAAUAAAUUAAACCCAAAAUAUUUGAAAUUUAAUCAAAUUACCAUAGGGAUAACAGCGCUAUAAAUUUCUAAAGUUCUUAUUCAAAAAUUUGUUUACGACCUCGAUGUUGAAUAUUUAUCUAAUAGGUGCAAUAGCUUAUCAAGAGGGUCUGUUCGACCCUUAAAUUUUUACA